rnacentral:lncRNA from 1 species
AACAAGCUAAAUCUUUUUAUUGUUUUCACACAUCACUGAAAAAUCUCAGAAAUUUCACAUGUUAAUUAGUUUUAAUAGCACAAGACCAAAAAUACUUUGCAUUCCACGAAGUACAACAUCAUAAAUCCCAGAAACUCUAAAAACACUCGCACGUAUUUUGGUAUUAUCGAAUCACUUGAUCUCUAAACUUUGAUGCCGUGCCACCAGACACAACCUACACAAUAUGAAAAUAUGUCAAUAUUGUAGCAUUACACAUCUACUAACCCUAGCUAAUACAAUACAUUAUACAUAUAUUAUUAUAUAUACAUAGACUAAUAGGGUCAUGACAGAGCAACCAAUGAAUGAAUCCAAAACUUUGUUUAUCAUGAACCUAACUCCAUCAAAUAAAAUCCCUCCCAUAUAGUAAUGUUUUUAUUAAUUGGGUAUUUGCUCGGACGUCCACAAUAAACUACUGCUGCCAAUCUGUCACCAUGGCGGCUCAUAUUAAACACUAACCCCAACCCCUUCUCCUCUCUCACUCUCACCAUUUUUCUCUCCUCAACCCAUUGCCCACUCAUCUAUUCACUAUUUCUAUCAUAUUAUAGUUAUAUAAUUAAACAUAGCAAUAGCAAAUUAUAUAUAUAUAUACAUCAUCCACCACCCAGAUUUAAUUUCACUCCAACCCAUCAUGCAUCACCGCAGAUUCAGCAAAUUAAUACAUGUGGCUGACCCAGAUGAGCCCGAGUCAGGGCCCGAGCCCGCCUCAGAAGCUGGGCCUGCUUCUCCUUCUUCCGGUGAAGACACUAAAACUGAAGCACCGUCACCCAAGAAAAGGUUUUUAAUUUUAACUUUAUUUUUAUGUGAAUUGGGAAGUUAAUUAAACGUCGAAGGGUUCAUGUAAAUACAUGUUCAUGAAACCAUACGUAGGAGGGAGAUGAAGAAGAGGGUGGUGACGAUACCGAUCGGUGACGUGGAUGGAUCUAAGAGCAAAGGAGAGAAUUAUCCACCGUCUGAUUCAUGGGCCUGGAGGA